CCUUUUGGUCAUUAUCUGUAACUUUCAAUUUGAAUAACAGCUCUUUAUAUACAGCUGCAACCUUGCAGUCCCAAGGCAGCAAACUGCCUUCUCAAAACAAAAAAGCAGCAAACAACAAGCUAGAGAGAGAGAGAGAGAGAGAGGGAGAGCGAUAGAAGAUGGGUCAGAGCCCCCUUGUCCGGCUGCCGGUGGCGGAGCAGGUUCAGCCAGUGGUGGUGACCAGCGGCACCAACAGGAAGGAACAACUGGGCAAAUCUACAAAAGCUACAAAUAAAUACUACAAAAAAUCAAGCAAAGACGAUAUUGUCUUAAGGGCGACACUGGAAUCAAUCACUAGAUUUGGAUAAAACUGCAAUCUAUUGACAUCAAGGAAAUAUG